rnacentral:rRNA from 1 species
CUACAGGCUUAACACAUGCAAGUCGAGGGGCAGCAUGGUCUUAGCUUGCUAAGGCCGAUGGCGACCGGCGCACGGGUGAGUAACACGUAUCCAACCUGCCGUCUACUCUUGGACAGCCUUCUGAAAGGAAGAUUAAUACAAGAUGGCAUCAUGAGUCCGCAUGUUCACAUGAUUAAAGGUAUUCCGGUAGACGAUGGGGAUGCGUUCCAUUAGAUAGUAGGCGGGGUAACGGCCCACCUAGUCUUCGAUGGAUAGGGGUUCUGAGAGGAAGGUCCCCCACAUUGGAACUGAGACACGGUCCAAACUCCUACGGGAGGCAGCAGUGAGGAAUAUUGGUCAAUGGGCGAGAGCCUGAACCAGCCAAGUAGCGUGAAGGAUGACUGCCCUAUGGGUUGUAAACUUCUUUUAUAAAGGAAUAAAGUCGGGUAUGGAUACCCGUUUGCAUGUACUUUAUGAAUAAGGAUCGGCUAACUCCGUGCCAGCAGCCGCGGUAAUACGGAGGAUCCGAGCGUUAUCCGGAUUUAUUGGGUUUAAAGGGAGCGUAGAUGGAUGUUUAAGUCAGUUGUGAAAGUUUGCGGCUCAACCGUAAAAUUGCAGUUGAUACUGGAUAUCUUGAGUGCAGUUGAGGCAGGCGGAAUUCGUGGUGUAGCGGUGAAAUGCCUAGAUAUCACGAAGAACUCCGAUUGCGAAGGCAGCCUGCUAAGCUGCAACUGACAUUGAGGCUCGAAAGUGUGGGUAUCAAACAGGAUUAGAUACCCUGGUAGUCCACACGGUAAACGAUGAAUACUCGCUGUUUGCGAUAUACAGCAAGCGGCCAAGCGAAAGCGUUAAGUAUUCCACCUGGGGAGUACGCCGGCAACGGUGAAACUCAAAGGAAUUGACGGGGGCCCGCACAAGCGGAGGAACAUGUGGUUUAAUUCGAUGAUACGCGAGGAACCUUACCCGGGCUUAAAUUGCAGAUGAAUUACGGUGAAAGCCGUAAGCCGCAAGGCAUCUGUGAAGGUGCUGCAUGGUUGUCGUCAGCUCGUGCCGUGAGGUGUCGGCUUAAGUGCCAUAACGAGCGCAACCCUUGUUGUCAGUUACUAACAGGUUCUGCUGAGGACUCUGACGAGACUGCCAUCGUAAGAUGUGAGGAAGGUGGGGAUGACGUCAAAUCAGCACGGCCCUUACGUCCGGGGCUACACACGUGUUACAAUGGGGGGUACAGAGGGCCGCUACCACGCGAGUGGAUGCCAAUCCCCAAAACCUCUCUCAGUUCGGACUGGAGUCUGCAACCCGACUCCACGAAGCUGGAUUCGCUAGUAAUCGCGCAUCAGCCACGGCGCGGUGAAUACGUUCCCGGGCCUUGUACACACCGCCCGUCAAGCCAUGGGAGCCGGGGGUACCUGAAGUGCGUAACCGCGAGGAGCGCCCUAGGGUAAAACUGGUGACUGGGGCU